CUAGGAAGAAGGAUGAUUACUCCGCGAAACCGCAAGGCGAAGUGGAGAGGAAAGUCCAGACAGCAUAGAGUAGGGUGUUCGCCGUAAGGCGGAUCGGGUAACCGCAAGUUAGAGCAACAGUGACGAACCGAGGUCAUGCUCGGGUGAAACGGGCAAUCCUCCUCGCUGCAAUCCUAGAACCGAAAGAGCUACUCGCUCAAUUUUCGAAAUCAGGAGCAUUAGAUGAGGCAUAGCCUCUCUUACAGAUAAAUUAUCAUCGAGAAACAGAAUCUGGCUUACUAUCUUCCUAGGCAC
rnacentral:RNase_P_RNA from 2 species